GGGUGGUACAAUUUUUUAACAUGCUUGGCUGCUAACCAAAAGGUUGGUGGUUCAAGUCCACCCACCCA
rnacentral:tRNA from 1 species